CCAAAACCAAAACCAAAAGCAAACAGUCCAGAGAGUUUCAAAAUUUACAAACUCUCAAGAAAAACUAGAAUCUAAAAAUAAAACCAUUAAUUUAAAGACAGUUUUUGUACUAGUGGUCACCGUUGAGCCUCUGUCGCACUGACUCGCCUAUGUCUGAGGAUUACCUGAACAGAACAGACAACAUAUGUGAGUUUUCAAAAAACUCAGUGUGUAACUUAACAGAGACACUCAUGCAUAUGGGAACAAAGUUUUCAUGUACAGAUCAGAUACAGAUACGGACACAAGUCCUUAAUAGAAACAGAUCAUGUCAGAAUCAGAUAAUCAGAACAGAUAUGCAAAAUCCUACCCCCAUCCUCUACACACCAUCUCUGAACAUCCCAUCACAUAAUGUGGGGUAUAAAACACCCACCCAUCCCUACAUACCACAUUGUGUCUGUACGACACUUAGCAGAAUAGCAUGCAACCAUGCUGCUAGAUAAUAGGCAAAAUGUCGCCUUACAGAACACUUUCUCCACAUAUACUAAACCCACCCCAAAUAAAGAUAAAGAAUACAAAUAACAAAUAUAACAGAAUCAACAUGUUUAGCAUGCUCAUAUACAAAUAUCAUACAUGUUUAUAUUGACAAUCAGGCAUACAUAUCAAUUUUACUAACGCAAAUCAGUCUAUCAGAAUAACAGAUCUCAUGCAUUAAGGGUUUGGUUAGCCCUUACCGACCCUACAAAAGGCCCAUAGUCGAUUGGAACAACUCAAGUGACCCUAGGGAAAAUUUUAGAAUUUUGGGCCCACACACCCAAAUUGGCCCUGCCUGUGUGGCCCACACGGCCUGGCCCAUGACCCACAUUCCCGUGUGGCCCACACGCCUAAAUUGACCUAGCUCGGGUGGCCCACACAGCCACACCCUUGCUCGUCACACAGCUGUGUGUCGUACACAGCCAGCCACAUGACCGGGCACACGCCCAUGUGGCGUCGACAAGCCACUUUUUCGGCUUUCGUCGAACCUCAUUUUUUUCCAUGUUUUCAUUACACACUUGGUUUCUUUUUUGAAUCAGCCUAAAUGAUGAAAUUCCCAGUAACUAAAAUCAACAGAAUUCAACGAAUUAAUCCCUAGGAACUCUUCCAAUUUGAAGGCAUACGACUUAGUACCCUAACAUGUCGAAACCCAACAGCAAAACUAUGCUUAAUCGAUAGAAACACUUACCCUCAAGACAACAAUCCACACAAUCACUCCGCCGAAAGAGCACCCAUUGACGCACAAUUCUCACCUAGAUAUCAGUAAACACAAACCAAGAAAAAUUAAAAGGAAACCCUUCAACACCAUAAAAAAUCCCCAACCAUUCAUCUAUUCUAUAAAGAAACUUAAGCCAACUAUGCACUUACCAAACAACAACCACCAAUCUUAAUGACAGAGAUGAGCAAAUAACACUUGAAUUUCGUCUGAAUUAGAAAAGUAAUAGGAACAGAAAGCAAAAAGAACAAGAAAGAACGUAUGAAAAACGAAAAAAAAUGAACGUGAAAGCGGUGGCUGAUUUUUAGGGAAAAGGAUAAUGAUAAAAUUAAAUUAAAAAUAAAAUAAUUAAAUCACCUAUUUUCCCUCAACUCCCCACCAACAACCGAAUCCUAGUAAAUCUGACCACUAACCACAUCCAACUACCUCUGACUUUUAACUCCACCCAAACUCUCUCAGGCACCCGGAGCAAAAAUAAUCACCAACUCUCACACAAGAAUUCAAACACAAUACCUCUAACAAGUUAAAUCCUUACCACUCGAACCAACAAGCUCAUUCUAAUGUAAGUUUACCAAAAAUAUAAUAUAAGCCUACCUAACAUGGAUAAGUAUAGGAUAAAAAUAACAAAAAUUGCUAAAAGUGAAACUUGAACCUUAGGCCUCAAACAUACCAUUAGAACACUUAGCCACUGAAACAAAUACAUAUAUUUAUAUUAGAAUUCACAGAAACAAAAUUAAGAAAUUUAGGGCGUUAUAGGUCAACUCAUUAUGUCAUAACUAAAGAGAAUCAAUUACUCACAAGUACAAAAAUGAUGGUAUCAAGGUCAAACUUGAUGCUAUUAUAUUUUUCUAAACAUCCAAGACACAAAUUUCAUAAAGAAUUUAAUUCCAAGAAAAACACAUAUGGGUGUCGAGGUCUAUCUAGACUUAAUAAUAUAAUGAAUAAAAUGGAAUUUAUAUAAUUUAAUGAUUAAAUACAAAAUUUUUAUUGUUAAGUCACUAGUAAAAAAUGCAUUACAUUUGUUUCAGAAAGUCAACUAAUGAUUAUGGAUGAAAUUUAAGGGAAAAAAUGAUAAAAAGAAAAUAAUAAUAGGGAAGUGAUUUUUUAUUUUAAAUAAAAUUUUUAUAUAAUCUUAUAUAUUUGUGUUAUUUUUAUAUGAAUUUAAUUUAAAAUAUCAUCAAUAAAUAUUAUUACGAGGUCAAUAAAAAAAUAUUUUUAAACGCGUGAAAUUAGGAAAUACAAAAGCACGAUCUUAAUUUGACAUUAAAAAGGGAGAUUAUAUUGUUGUUCACUAAAUACUAAAUUAUGGAUAAAUUUUCGUUUUGAUCAGUUAAUUAAAAAAAGUUAUAAUUUGGUCAUUAAAAUUUUAAAAAUUAUUUUUUUGACACUCUUUUAAUUGGUAUAAUAACAAUUUUAGUCCUUAAUUUUUAUACUUUCUAUUAAUUUGACCUUAAUUAUAAAAAAUAAAAAAAUGAAAAUAUUUUUUAAAAUUUAAAAAUUUCUAAAAGUAAAGAUAAAAGUAGAUAAAAAUUUCAAAAAUAGAUUAAGUGAAAGAAAAUGAGGAAAAUUAUUUUUAAACCAUCCAACUUUUCUCUUUGUAUUAUUUGUAUGGGAAUAUCCAAUACCUAUUCUUUAAAAAAUAUUUUUAAAAAAAAGCAAAAUUAAUGGUUGACUUAUUUUCACAUCUUCUGUUUUUUUUACAUAACACGGCUUUCUUAUUAUAAGAAAAGAAAAGAAUUUUGUUUUUACAAUUUUAGUUUAAAAAUAAUUUAAAUGAAUUAAAAUUUUGAUUUAAAUUUUUUAGCUAAAAAAAACUGACAUUAGAGUUUGAAAAAAAGAAAAGCGCAUGUAAAAUCAGUUCUAGAUUUUCUUUAGGGCCAAUUUGAAUAUAUUACUAAUUUAGUUUUUAAAUAUUGAGAAAAUAUGUAAUGAUUUAACUGUUUUUUUGUUCAGUUAAAAUUGUUAUUGGAUUAUAAUGAAAGACAGUUUUCUUUAAUUCUCAUACAUAUUAGUUCUUCAAUGACAACAUUUUUGAAAUUUUAUUUUUUUAAAUUUUUAUAUAGAAUUUUCUAAUUUUAAUUAAUUUCAAGGUUUUUAUAAUUUUGAUAUAGGAAUAGGAUCAAAUUUAUAGAAAAUAUAAAAUUGAGGACUAAAAAUACUAUUAUAUUGACUAAAAAAGUGUCACUUUUUUAAAAACUUUAGUAAUCAAAUUGAAAUUUUUUAAGUGACUAAAAUAAUGACUAAUAAAUUUACUAUAACCCUUAAAAAAGUUGACUAUUUUCUUGGCCCCAAAAAAAAGAAAAGAAAUCUAAAUUGAUAUACAUGAAACUUCCAAUUUCAUAGACGAAUGAUGUUACCUUACGUAACACAGACGUCAAAGUUACUUCCACAAAUUGCAGUGCAAGAUGUUGAACUCCAAAUGUAUUUUGCGUACGUGGCACCACCUCCUUCAUUAUCAUCCCCAAUAC
rnacentral:lncRNA from 1 species